UUUUCUAACCUGUACUUUGCUGGUUUUACUCUAAGGAUGGUGUGGGAGACAGCGUCAAAAGGAUUCUUUUCUCAAAAUCUGCCUUGUUUUUUUCUCUGCAGUUGUGCUGACAUUUCUGGUUUGGUUUGCUUUGGAACUCUUUAUAAAAACUGACUUUGGUGAUUUGCUCUAAUGGGGAGAUUUCUGUUCUCUGUUCUGAUGGAGGAGUCAGUUGUUACGUGCUACUCUGCUCGGUGGAUACGCGCCUGGCUACAAGAAAAGGAAGAAGUGUGAAUCAUCUCUCAGAUGACCACAAGCCAUAGGAGAACAAGCUAUAUGGACAGAAAUGAGUGGAACAAGACAUACCUGUCCAUGGCAGAGGGACAUACGUGCUGUGAGCAAGGCCAGACAUCCACACCAGCACACAGAGCAGAAUCACAGAAUCUUCAUGGUUGGAAAGGACCUCUGAGAUCACCGAGUCCAACCAGACACACACAAAUGACCCCCACAGUACAAUCUUGGCCACUAGAGCAUGCCUGAGCAGUGUCUGUCUUGGUACCUACAAGAACAGGAACACUGCAGCCCAGUCCUUUCCUCCCUCACCGCCUGAUCAGGAUGGGAGUUUGACAGUGGAGUAUAUAUACCUCCCUGGAAUAAAUAUGCUCUCUCCCGUAGCGGAUUUUGAGCC
rnacentral:lncRNA from 1 species